UCGUGGUCUAGUGGUAUGAUACGUCCCUGCCACGGACGAGACCCGGGUUCGAUUCCCGGCG
rnacentral:tRNA from 1 species